rnacentral:sRNA from 12 species
CCUGCGGAGAGUAAUAGAACUUGUGAGUAGUAUCGAUAAAUUUGAUAUGAAAGCAUACUCGAUGAAACAGGAA